UGCUUUUCGUCUGUAUGCUGUAAUCAGAUUUCUGUGGAAUCGAAGCACGCGAGACUUUAAAAACAGACGCCCCGCCCCCAGAUGACGUCAGCGCGAAUGUUGUUGUUUGGGGCUGUUUAAUGAAUGACAGACGGAUGCCAAAGUACAAGGUCAUGGACCUCGACUGUCAAAGCCAACCUCUUCACAUUGUUGAGUCUAUGGAUGGAACUUUUCCCCAAAAAAAGCACCACAGUAGUGAGAGACUGACGCAGUGGGCAUAUCUGAAUUUCCUCUAAAGCAAUUGUGCUGGAGACAGUGGUCUUGUGGUGGUCCACGAGCGCAGGGCUGUGGGUCUGCAUUGCUCCAGUGUGCAGUUACAUGCAAGACAGGUGGCUGUGGUCAAACACGGACCCAGACUGAAGGAAUGUGAUCUCUACUUUGUUAAUUUGAUCUCUACUUUUGUAAUUUGUGAUGUAAACGGAAACUUUGAAACAAAUUUAAAUAUGACAAAAUAGCAACACAAUUGCCAACCGAUUGGUUAUAAAUGCUAAAGUUUGUCAAUGCUCAGCAAGGAAUUGAUGGUUAGUAGUAUUUUUCAAGUUUCAAUUCAAGUUUAUUUGUAUAGUGCUUUUUAUGAUACAAACUGUUGCAAAGCAACUUUACAGUAAAUUAAAUUCAGUUAAUUUUUUCAGUAAUUGUUUUUAAUUGGUUGCCAUCUUUGACCAUUUUCACAAAAAUUUCAGGCCCCCCGAUCAGUGCUCUUCAGAUGCUUCAUAGCUCCUCCUACCGUAUAACAGUGAAAACUCGGAAAACUCUCAAUGGUGGGGACGCAUAUAUUGCAGCUGUCAGAAGAACAGUUGACAACAACUGAGCACAUCUCCAGCGUGAGCAGGAGCACAGAGAUAAAAGAAGAGGACAACACAAUGAUGUUUGUGACCAAACGGCCAUGUGAUGACAGCUGUGCUAGAAUAAAGCAGAUCUACACCACAGACCUGGACAGCAACAGUCAAACAUGACAACUCCUACCUCAGGUUCAACAAACUCAACAGCAUCCAGAAGCUCAUUGUAAGGACAAAGUAAAUCAUUAUAAAUGAUGAACUUGGAAAAAUACCACAUCACUGUUGUAUUGAUGUAUUUGAAUAUUUUCUUUUUGCUUUACAUUUAUGAUAAAAAAUAAAACUUUAAUACGUAUAAAUGUUUUUUAU